CAUCCUCUGCUCCCACUUGUCAGGUGAGCCUGAUGAUUGUAGUGCUGUAUUUAAACUGAGAAUGGCACAGUCUGUAGCAGAGCGAAGUUAUGCUAGAUGUUGAGGGAGGUUGCUGGAGCGCUGUACAGUAACGUGUAAAUACAGAUGCUUGAAACUGCUGUAAAACAUGUAUCGGAUCACUGGCUAUGCUCUACACAAGGAUAAACUUGACAAUGGGAUGAUCUGCUGUAUAAAGCCGGGAUCCGAAAAGUUUGGAACUUUUUCGUUUGGGAUCUUAACAUUGUGGAUUUCAGCACUGGAUGUUCCGUAGUACCUGUGUGGGAACAUAGGCUACUACUAUAACCCCUUACUGGAAUUGUUUAGUAAUUUAUAAGUUUUGUAAUGGAUGCGAUAUAUAUUUUUCCACGUUUCUUUCUUUCAUUUAUUUUUAAAACAAUCCUAACAGUGUAUAAGGUUUUAAAUCUUUACCAUGCGCCGGAUUGGAUUACGCAAUGUGUCGGCAAGAUCCCUGCAAUUGUAACGUUUUCAUGGAUACAACGUAACGAAUCCCUGGACACAAUAAGGGGUCCAUGAGUUCUCAUUACUAACAUACGGUGUGGGAGUCAAUGACGAUGCUCAGUAUUCACCGGAUUCAUGGCUAACCUCAGUUUCUACGAUUGCUGUCAGGCUCUGGGGAUGAAUUUCUUUGAGAUUUGACUGCGCUGUGUUGUUCAAUUUACGUUGGAUUUAUUCAGGAAGUUGUCGCGGAUGCCGCUGUAUACCUGGGGGUUCGAGAACGUCCACGUUUGUUACAUUUUACAAUAUACUUCACACCUGUGUGUAGAUAAUCACGUUUAUGUAAUCUACUGUAUAUAACAUGUACAUGCAGUGGAAAUGGAAUACCUUUCUCACCAUGUGGAUUUAAAUGGACACCCAUAAUGUAACGCCUUCACCUAUUUAUAGGUGCUGUUAUCAGGACCCAGCUGUACCGUACAGUACUUCAAGUUCUUGCUGAAAAGAAUGAAUAAAGAAAAAAGAGUAAUUGACCUUCCGUCAGUCGCUGCCACAUGUUGCUCACGUGGGGCUCUGAUCACUUGCAAGGAAUACCGUGAAGGUGCUUGAACAUAUUAUAUACAUGCAUCUAUGUAUGUCACUUGUACCAGAACGGUCAUCCUGUGUGUGGUUGCAAUAUGGUAGCACACAAUAGAAGACUGAAUGAGAACUGCUCGAAGUGACGCUGCAUACAGGAUUGGAGGUCUGGGAUGCAUUCACGCAUUGGCUUCAGAGAUGAAAGGUCAUUUUCCAGCAGUGACAGUCCUUGGAUAACCGUAGUCAGAAGCAGUUGCAUGAUGGGCAUUAAACACAAGCCUUGCAUUGACUGGCCGGGUUGUCCCUAGGUCUUGUGCUGCUGAAGAAAUGGACAAUGACAGUGCGGGUCUGAUUAUUUGCCUGCGUAGUGCCCUGUACUUAUACCAGAAGAGGCAGCCUGAUUUGCAGGGGGUUCUGAGGACAUCCAGGCUGGCUGGAAGAAGACAGUAGGGCCUCCUCUGUUUUCUUGGCAAAAACGAGUCAGUCCAGAAAGUGUUUGAACAGGGGUCUCAAAGUGUUUGCAUUCCAGGAAGUUUCCAGACCUUAAUCAUUCAUUAACAUAUUGCAUCUUAUGCAGGGGAAAUCCCUUAUGAAAAAUGGAUUUUGAAAUACAGUAUACCGCAGGUGCAUUUGAUUUCAUAUUAGAUAUACAGUAGGACUUCAUUACAAAAUAAUAAACAACACCUGGAAUACUAAUAUGUAAAAUUGAAUUUUUUAAAAUUAUUUUAUGUUCUCCAGAAUAGCCCAUAGAUGAAUUAAUUUUGAGAGUAUUCCUCAAGAUUUUAUUUGGAGUUUUGAUUUCAGAGACACUUGCCAACUCAAUAUCCAAGGAGAAUAAGGAUACCCAUCAAUUGCUGGAAAUACUUAAUGAAGAAGAAAAGUAAUUGUAAACUAAUAUAUAUAUAUAUAUAUA